rnacentral:rRNA from 1 species
UGAGUAACGCGUAAGUAAUCUAUCCCUGUAUCUGGAAUAACUAUGGGAAACUGUAGCUAAUACCAAAUACGUUCUCCUAUUUACGAAUUGGAGAAGAAAGAUGGCCUCUUCAUGAAAGCUAUCGUGCAGGGAGGAGCUUGCGUACCAUUAGCUAGUUGGUAGGGUAAUGGCCUACCAAGGCGACGAUGGUUAGCGGGUCUGAGAGGAUGAUCCGCCACACUGGAACUGAAACACGGACCAGACUCC